UACGGGGGGAGCAAGCGUUGUUCGGAUUUACUGGGCGUAAAGGGCGCGUAGGCGGUCAGCACAAGUCAGUUGUGAAAUCUCCGAGCUUAACUCGGAACGGUCAACUGAUACUGUGCGACUAGAGUGCAGAAGGGGCAACUGGAAUUCUUGGUGUAGCGGUGAAAUGCGUAGAUAUCAAGAGGAACACCUGCGGCGAAGGCGGGUUGCUGGGCUGACACUGACGCUGAGGCGCGAAAGCCAGGGGAGCGAACGGG
rnacentral:rRNA from 1 species